rnacentral:rRNA from 1 species
AGCGAACGCUGGCGGCGUACUUAACACAUGCAAGUCGAACGGGAUCGUCAGUGUAGCAAUACAUCGGCGGUUCUAGUGGCGCACGGGUGAGUAACACGUGGGUAACCUGCCCUUGAGUUCGGGAUACCCUUUCGAAAGGAAGGCUAAUACCGGAUACGUUCCUCGGAUUGCCAAAUCUGGGGAGGAAAGGUGGCGCAAGCUGCCGCUCUUGGAGGGGCUCGCGGCCUAUCAGCUAGGGUGAGGUAACGGCUCACCAA